CUGGGAACCCAGUAAACAGUUCGUUAUAUGUGAACUGCAUUUCACUGCAGACGACAUUGAGAAAAUUACCAGUGCUUACGACCCAAAACUGGCAAACUCGUUACAGCACCUUUGGACCGUCCACGUUUAAAGAAACGUUCGUGAAAAUUUAUCGUAAAGGAUGCCGUACCUUCAAAGUUGCCAGGAUGAGCUACGUCUUUAUCUUUAAAACAAGCACCAGCUCGAGAAGAUCCAGAGAGUCGCGAACGUUUGGAGA